UACGUAGGGGGCAAGCGUUGUCCGGAUUUAUUGGGCGUAAAGAGCGUGUAGGCGGCCAUGCAGGUCCGUUGUGAAAACUCGAGGCUCAACCUCGAGACGUCGAUGGAAACCGCAUGGCUAGAGUCCGGAAGAGGUGAGUGGAACUCCGAGUGUAGAGGUGAAAUUCGUAGAUAUUCGGAAGAACACCAGUGGCGAAGGCGGCUCACUGGUCCGGUACUGACGCUGAGGUGCGAAAGCGUGGGGAGCAAACAGG
rnacentral:rRNA from 1 species